UUGGGGAUAGUUUAAUGGUAGAACAACGGGCUUUGGACCCGUUAGUCUUGGUUCGAAUCCAGGUCCCCAAACCA
rnacentral:tRNA from 1 species